CCUACGGGUGGCAGCAGUGGGGAAUUUUGGACAAUGGGGGCAACCCUGAUCCAGCAAUGCCGCGUGCAGGAAGAAGGCCUUCGGGUUGUAAACUGCUUUUGUACGGAACGAAAAGGCUCUGGUUAAUACCUGGGGCACAUGACGGUACCGUAAGAAUAAGCACCGGCUAACUACGUGCCAGCAGCCGCGGUAAUACGUAGGGUGCAAGCGUUAAUCGGAAUUACUGGGCGUAAAGCGUGCGCAGGCGGUGCUGUAAGACAGGCGUGAAAUCCCCGGGCUUAACCUGGGAAUGGCGCUUGUGACUGCAGUGCUGGAGUGUGGCAGAGGGGGAUGGAAUUCCGCGUGUAGCAGUGAAAUGCGUAGAUAUGCGGAGGAACACCGAUGGCGAAGGCAAUCCCCUGGGCCUGCACUGACGCUCAUGCACGAAAGCGUGGGGAGCAAACAGGAUUAGAUACCCUGGUAGUC
rnacentral:rRNA from 1 species